GACGGGUAGCCGGCCUGAGAGGGUGACCGGCCACAUUGGGACUGAGAUACGGCCCAGACUCCUACGGGAGGCAGCAGUGGGGAAUAUUGCACAAUGGGCGGAAGCCUGAUGCAGCAACGCCGCGUGCGGGAUGACGGCCUUCGGGUUGUAAACCGCUUUCGCCUGUGACGAAGCGUGAGUGACGGUAAUGGGUAAAGAAGCACCGGCUAACUACGUGCCAGCAGCCGCGGUGAUACGUAGGGUGCGAGCGUUGUCCGGAUUUAUUGGGCGUAAAGGGCUCGUAGGUGGUUGAUCGCGUCGGAAGUGUAAUCUUGGGGCUUAACCCUGAGCGUGCUUUCGAUACGGGUUGACUUGAGGAAGGUAGGGGA
rnacentral:rRNA from 1 species